AGGAUAUAAAUUUUUAAUUUGCAAUUAAAAUAAAUUGAAAUUAUUUUCAAUAUAUCUUA
rnacentral:tRNA from 1 species